rnacentral:rRNA from 1 species
AUGAACAUAGCUCAGCCGUGGCUGGUUUGGGGAGGCAGACGCCGUGGUUGGGGCUGGGGCUGGGCCCGGCGGUGUGGUGCAGGUAGCAGGGGAAGCCAGCCCACUCAGCUGCGGACGACCAGCGCCGCCUCGCUCUGCUCGCUGUUGACAGCGCGUGUGUUGGAGGAAUCACGACUUGCUCCCAGCGUCCUCUCCACCAUGCCCGAGCUCCUCUGCUCCUCCCGUUCGCGCGACCAGGCUACUGCCGUCGCCGUUGCACGCGCCACUGCCACCAGCUGUUGCACACGCCGCGCGACGGGAGCUCCAGCCUGGGGAAUCGGGUCCUCAGCCCGUCGGCCAGGCAGUCACGAUCGCUGUUGUUCUUGCCCUCGCCGCCUUCGGUGGCCGAGCAGGACGUACCGGGCUUCCUCCGACGCGAGUUUCCUCAGAUGGCGUCCCCUCCAGGUCGAACAAGGAGGUCGGGCUGCGCAUCGCUGGCAGGCGCCUUGCGUGCGCCGGAACGCCGCAUCGGACAAGCCCGGUCAAGUGCCGGUGCGGGGAUGCGCGCCACACCGUGAGCAGUCGUGA